rnacentral:ncRNA from 2 species
UAUCUUUGCAGCCGUAUUGGUUCGAUGUAUCCUAUCGGGAUACGGAGAUUAAAAGGGAAUCGGGUGAAAAUCCCGGACAGUCCCGCUGCUGUGAGUUCCAUUACAUAUGCACAAGCCAUCUCUAAGCCACUGGUUUCUACCGGGAAGGCUGCUUGUUGCAGGAAUAAGUCAGAAGACCUGCCAUACACUCCGCAUUCAA